CCCUUAGAUGUUCUGGGCUGCACGCGCGCUACACUGAUGCACUCAACGAGUUUACGAGCUUGUCCGAGAGGAUUGGCUAAUCUUUUUAAAAUGCAUCGCGAUGGGGAUAGAUUGUUGCAAUUAUUAAUCUUCAACGAGGAAUUCCUAGUAAGCGCGAGUCACCAGCUCGUGCUGAUUACGUCCCUGCCCUUUGUACACACCGCCCGUCGAUCCUACCGAUUGAAUGCUCAGGUGAAUAAUUCGGACUGCAGCAGUGUUUGGAUCCCGAACGCUGCAGCGGAAAGUUUAGUGAACCUUCACACUUAGAGGAAGGAGAANUCGUANCA
rnacentral:rRNA from 1 species